CAGGAUGACGAUGAGGGCAUUUGGGCAUAAUCUUUGCUGUGACAACCAAAGCUCUAAUGUUGUUUUGAGGGAGAUUCAGUCACUGGAGGAGCACAGCCAUGCCAUGAUGUUGAAACACUACCCGACCAAACAUUUAUUACCUCCACUCAAUCAACACUCAGCAAUGGGACCUUUGUUUAUUUUCUGGGGAAGAGGAGGGGGCACUCAGGUGUGCAGGUCAUGCAGGGAGAUUGACAGCUGAGCAGGAGCAGAUGUCAUCUACUUCCUCCAUACAGGAUCACUGAAUUGGAAGGAAUGAGACAGAUGUUGUUGCCGACGGAGAGACAGAUGUGCUCUGUGUCAGAUUCUUGCUUGGACCGGGCAUGUGAUCAACAUGGCAGCCCUGCAUCAAAGGUCACCUCACCUGUCUGUCACCUGCCGGACACUGCACUAGGCCAACAUCGCCCUCUUCAUUCUCCCAGCAGAGAUCUCAUGACUGUCUGCCAGCCCAGUAUUUGUUCUCCAUCCUUCUUCCUUUGAUUGAUUCAAGAUCAUGGUUGUCUUGCUGUCUGUUUCACCUGCCUGACUGACUCCUCUGGCUCUGGUUGGCCUCCCUCAUCUGACUAUGUCAUGGUUUCUUGAUCCUCACUGCCCUGCUGACACGUCUGGUGACAUCUGACCCCUCUACCUGGCUAUCAUGAUCCUCAGUGUGCAGAGUCUCUUCUGUUGUUUAAAUCAUCUGAUUGUGUCAAUGAGCUAUUUUACCCUUUGUGGCACACAGUGACCUCUUUUUUUUACCUUUAUACACGCCCCACCCAUCAUCCAUUUCUACAGAAGCUUAUGUUCAGCAUUACUUAAAAGCGAUGGAGUGGCCCUUCACUUGCUUUUUUUUUUUCGACGAAAAAAAGUAUAGCAUGUUCCACACAUCUGAUUUGAAUGAGUUUGUUUUUUGUUGUCAUUACUUGUUUCAGAAAGGAAGAGCUUAGUUUACUGAUAGUAUGCCUUUAGCCUUGCCUGCAGCAUCGGGGGUUUCCUUGGCUGCAUGAGCAGGGCCCUCCAGAUCUUGGGCGCGUUUUAGCCUUAAGGCUGUGGCUGCCAUUGACGUUUCUCUUCAUGUUACCUCAUUUUGAGUAGUCAAAAAAAAAAAAA